GUGUUAGCUAUUGACGUUUGUUUGUUGUUUUUGAAAUCAAUUCAGAAGUCGGAUGUGAUAUGGAUGCCGAAAUUUUGCUUCUUUAUUUCGCUGCUGUGGAACAAAUUCAAGGAUGCAAGUUUCUGCUCAAAGUGAAGCAAUGGUCACAGGCGUACGAGGUUAUCAUGGAGCAUAUUGUCACGGACUGUGUUAUCAACGUCAACUUCCCUUAUUUGGAAUCACUAUUUACUGAACGAAUUCAAGGAUGUCAAACAAAUCUCCAAAAAGUUCAUCAAAGGGCAGAUUUUGAGCGACUUUAUCGAGCUAAAUGUGAAGUUUGACCUGCUCGGGAUGCUCUCGACGACGAGGUGGCCGAGGCUCUGUUCGAAGAACUCAAGCCCAAACUAUCCGAUCUGUGCUCCGUGAUCAAGAAGUUUCCCUGUCCGACGCCGAAGCAUCGGCUCUGUCAGAGCGAAACCACCCAGCGGUUGGCAUGUCUCAUUCGGCAUUCUCCGCUCAGGAUCUGCGUAUUAACAGCUGUGUGUUCAUGCGAAAUGCGCUCGAAAAGCAGCCUUUUCCCCGGGAGUAUGUGCUCGAGGAAUUGCUGCUUAUGCUAAGCGCGUUUCUGGACGAGGAUUCAACGAGUAUCAAUGAGAUAGUGUUUGAAGGAAAAUUUCAAUGUUAUUUUUAGUUUAGUUUAGAUUAUUACUGCAAUAGGGAAAUAAAAAGACACUCAAGAAUGAAUGAAUGGACACACAUUCUCUUG